rnacentral:rRNA from 1 species
GUCGAAUUCAUUAUUGUCAAAACGACUCUCGGCAACGGAUAUCUCGGCUCUCGCAUCGAUGAAGAACGUAGCGAAAUGCGAUACUUGGUGUGAAUUGCAGAAUCCCGUGAACCAUCGAGUCUUUGAACGCAAGUUGCGCCCGAAGCCGUCAGGCUGAGGGCACGCCUGCCUGGGCGUCACA